rnacentral:lncRNA from 1 species
AUCUUAGGUUUGGCUUUUUUCUGCACAUUUUCCUAUUUUUUUCAUUAAAAAACAGACACUGCAAUUCUCCUGUGUGGCUCUUGUUUCACCUCUAGGUACACAUUUAUUUCUUUUUUAUCAGCGCAUUUAGGAUUCACAUUAGGCUUUUUUUUGCUGUUGAAUCAAAUAUUGGCUCUCUUGUUUGCUGUGAUUUAGUAUAAACAUAAAAUCCUCUUUGUGAGUCAGGGUAUCCAGGAGCCAGUCUACAGAAUGUGGACAGGCUGCAUUAUAAUUUUGUGUUAUGUUGACCUAAAAUGCCAUUCAUUUGAAUGAGCCCUAGCAUUCCUUUAUAAUCAGUUUGGUUUUAGACUAAGAAAUCAUAUGCCUCAACAAAUCUGUAAUCUCAUUAUAGGUUUCUUUGGCAAGGCAUACUUCUAAUAAAGCUAUUGUCACUAGCAUUAGUCCUCUACAUCAAGUUUUUGUAACUGUAGUCCCAUAUUUUUUGUAGUUUUUCUGCUACUUUUGUCAAACCAGACAGUAAUUACCUAAAUUAUCUCAGUUCUCUCUUUUUUUUCUUUAAUAUUUACAUAAUGCUAACAUUUUUUAUGUCUUAUAACAUUUUCCUGUAUUUGUUAAAAUUUUACAGAACAAAGGAUCUGUUCAGCCAGUUCCUGUAAAACUCCAGGAUUCUGAGAGAAUCUGGGAACAGAGGAGUAGCAGCAGGAGACAGUGCAAUACUUGAGGAUAUUUUGAAGAUUUCAGGCAACAAGACGACUUUCAGCUGUAUCCAGCACUCCAGCUGUGUGUGAUUUGCCUCUUAAUCAAAGAUUUCAAAAAUCAGGUUCCAUCUGCUAAAAAAUUCAAAGGUGAGAAUUUUCCCUUUUUUAAUUUAUUUUCCAAGCAAUUGGCAACAAACAGAAAGUCCAUUUCUCAGUAC